AACGAACGCUGGCGGCAGGCUUAACACAUGCAAGUCGAGCGCCCCGCAAGGGGAGCGGCAGACGGGUGAGUAACGCGUGGGAAUCUACCCAUCUCUACGGAAUAACGCAUGGAAACGUGUGCUAAUACCGUAUACGUCCUUCGGGAGAAAGAUUUAGCGGAGAUGGAUGAGCCUGCGUUGGAUUAGCUAGUUGGUGGGGUAAAGGCCUACCAAGGCGACGGUCCAUAGCUGGUCUGGGAGGAUGAUCAGCCACACUGGGACUGAGACACGGCCCAGACUCCUACGGGAGGCAGCAGUGGGGAAUAUUGGACAAUGGGCGCAAGUCUGAUCCAGCCAUGCCGCGUGAGUGAUGAAGGCCCUAGGGUUGUAAAGCUCUUUCACCGGUGAAGAUAGUGACGGUAACCGGAGAAGAAGCCCCGGCUAACUUCGUGCCAGCCGCCGCGGUAACAC
rnacentral:rRNA from 1 species